rnacentral:rRNA from 1 species
UACGGGGGGGGGCAAGCGUUGUUCGGAAUUACUGGGCGUAAAGGGCGCGUAGGCGGCUUUUCAAGUGACGGGUGAAAUCCCUCGGCUUAACCGAGGAACUGCCUGUCAGACUGGAAGGCUUGAGACCGGGAGAGGUGAGUGGAAUUCCCAGUGUAGCGGUGAAAUGCGUAGAUAUUGGGAGGAACACCAGUGGCGAAGGCGGCUCACUGGACCGGAACUGACGCUGAGGCGCGAAAGCGUGGGGAGCAAACAGG